rnacentral:rRNA from 1 species
AACGCUGGCGGUGCGCUUAAUACAUGCAAGUCGAGCGAGAACCAGGGCUUCGGCUCUGGGGACAGCGGCGAACGGGUGAGUAACACGUGGGUAAUCAACCCCCGACACCGGGAUAGCCCAGGGAAACUUGGAUUAAUACCGGAUGCCCCGUCUGGCCUUCGGGCCGGCCGGAGAAGGGUAGCUUCGGCCCCUGGUCGGGGACGAGCCCGCGGCGGAUUAGCUUGUUGGUGAGGUAAAGGCUCACCAAGGCGACGAUCCGUAGCUGGUCUGAGAGGACGAUCAGCCACACUGGGACUGAGACACGGCCCAGACUCCUACGGGAGGCAGCAGUAGGGAAUCUUGCGCAAUGGGCGAAAGCCUGACGCAGCGACGCCGCGUGAGGGAAGAAGGCCUUCGGGUUGUAAACCUCUUUCAGGAGGGACGAAGCCACUCGGGUUAAUAGCCUAGAGGGUGACGGUACCUCCAGAAGAAGCCCCCGGCUAACUACGUGCCAGCCGCCGCCGUAA